UACGAAGGGGGCGAGCGUUGUUCGGAAUUACUGGGCGUAAAGCGCACGUAGGCGGGUCGUUAAGUCAGGGGUGAAAUCCCGGAGCUCAACUCCGGAACUGCCUUUGAUACUGGCGAUCUAGAGAUCGGAAGAGGUGAGUGGAAUUCCCAGUGUAGAGGUGAAAUUCGUAGAUAUUGGGAAGAACACCAGUGGCGAAGGCGGCUCACUGGUCCGAUACUGACGCUGAGGUGCGAAAGCGUGGGGAGCAAACAGG
rnacentral:rRNA from 1 species